AGUCACAACACGGGAAGAGGAGGAGGAGGAGGAGGAAGAGAGAGAAAGACAGAACUAAAAACCCUCGAAGGAUGGCUCUCCAAAAUUCCUGGCGGAAGCACGGGGAAUCCCUGGUAGCACGGGAGCGGAGCUACUUUCUGGAUUUAUCCUGAACGAGAAGAGGAAUUACUGAAUUAACGCCCAGGCAGUGAGUGUCCUGUGUUAGUUGCUGUAGUCCAGAAGUCCUUCAUAAAUGUCUUUGAUCUGGAGAGUACUGAAAAGUACUGACUUUCUCUGGUCUGAAUAGGAACCAUCUCCCCUGCUCUGCUCAUCGGCACCAGAUCCUGCGACAUCUCCACGUUUCCACAGUGAGGUAGGAUAACCUUGCCAAAGAGGAAAGGAAUUUGGACAGACUUAACAUCCAGCCUAUGCAGCUUCCACGAGCUGGAUGCUAAAAUGAAGAGAGAGUUUAUUCAUUCCCAUCUCAACACAGCCUACCAGAAUUAAAGGACAUUUUGACCUACAAGGGAGAUUGGGUUCCCAACCUGCCUCCAAGAGAAGGCUGUUCAAUUCCUCUGGCUACCAAGUCUCCACAUUUCUGUGCUGGAUGUGAAGAGUAAAGGGAGUCUGGCAGGAAUCAGGAGGCGUCCAAGUCAGCCUAAGAGACAGCACCAGGUAGAGGCUGGAUUCCUUUUUCCUAAUAUUCUUGUAGUAUGCAGUACAGACAUUAUUUCUUCUCCUCCCCUUGAACUUUUGUUGUUUUCCUCUUCUCCACGUCCGUGGAGCCUCUGUAGUUGUACUUGUGGAGCAGGUGGCAUGGUUGGAAUAUCAGAGCAGUAUGUAUUAGAGUGAAACCUACAGACAGAAAUAGAAAGUAAAUGGAAGAUGAAUUGAUCAGUGAAAAGGCAGAGGAUGGAGGGGAUAAAGUAAAGGCAAGGAGGGAGACAAGUAAUACCUUGCCUGUGUGCUAUGGUAAUUUAUUAUUUUUAUAUGGUGCCCGGGGUGUGCAGUAUCUGUUUUACUGAACAAAUAGAAGAGUUCUCAGCCCCAAACAGCCAACAUAUUAAUUUAUUGUGUGACAGCCUGACAAAAUGAGCAGCCAGGCCGGUGUGAUGAGGAAUAAUUUAGUGCUUGUGGAGCAUGAGUAACUUUACUAUUGGUAGCCUCACUUGUGUAUGGCACCUGAUGGAUGUCUCUUUUGUUGGUAAGGACUUACUGUACAAGAAAAAUUUCCCUUUCAGGGGAAAUCUGACUAGGGGGUGUCUUAGGGCAUGGGACAGGAUUCUGUCUGGAGUAGCAAAGGGGCUGCCAGGUGAGCAUCUGGGAGGGGAGGGUGAGGACCUGAGCCCCAGCCUGGCACGGGGGGAGCAGCACAAACCCCAGAGCGGGGUGUGGGGACACGCAAGGGCAGCCAGAUGUGGGGAAAGUGAAGGAAGGGACUCGGGAGAGAAGGCUGGAGUGUUUGCUGUGAGCAGUCUCCAGCUGCAGUUCCUGAGGAGCCAUCCAGCUGGGACAGCAAGAUGUCCUGAACCAACACGCUCCAGUGGGAGAGGCUCCAGUGCAAACCUGCCGUGACCGCAGCACCGGGGGAGCAAUUCCUGAGUUGUUUUCCAACACAGUUAUUGCCACUUAAAUUGCAGUUUUAUUCCAAAAGCAAAUUCCAAAGUUUUAUGUCCAUAAAGGUUUAGACAUAAACAAGAAAGAAGUCAGGAAAGUGGUAUGCACUGUGUAAACAGUCUCACUUUAUAAUUAAUGCUGAAGAUCAGGGAGCAGGAAUGGCUGUGCAUGUGUGGUCAUUCAGAUUUACUGUUGCUCUGAUUAAAACCUAGUUGGGCAAUAAUUUUAUGCCCAGGUAGGGGCAGGAAGAGAGCAGGAUGCCCCCAAGCAACCCAUAAAUAGUGUGGUGAAGACAAAGCGUUUAUUACUUAGCUUCACAAAGGCUCCCUAAGUGCUCUCCCAGGGUAUAUAUACUCAUACCCCAGAUGCCAAUUCUGCAAAUUAGCAUUAUUUCUCAAAAUCCUGUGUAAAUAGAAGUCAUUUAAAUACUUGAUUUCAUCAGACAGACUCACUCAUGGAAAUGUCAGUCUCUUUUUCUCCUUUUUGUGGGGCGAGCAGAGGUUUUCACUGCCUGGGUUUUCAUUUCUCCUGGAAUACUUUCACUGAUGGCAGAGCCUGGCAGUGUCUGGGAUCCAUACAGGACUCAAUCUGCAGGAUUCCAUCCCAUCUCAGUGCCUCAUGCUGGUGUAAAAGCAACUCUGGGGCAUAAACUUUACUAUUUAUCACUGAAAUGUGCUAUUUUGUGAAUCUCCUAUCUAGCAGUUUAAAUUACUGUGCCAAAAGUGGUUUCAUAGCUAAGACACAGAGGGAAUUAAAGGGUUUUGAGAUUCUGUCAAAGUACCAUUGGGAUGUUCCUUUUUUCUAGAGAAGGCACGAGUGAGUUCAGCUCAGGCUUUGCUGAUGGGCUGUUGUUUUGUCAUUGGGCAUCCUGCCACUAGUAACUUGUCCAAAUUUUAGAAACUUUCACAAUUAUUUAAAUCCAUUUUUGUAUGGGAUUCCAUGUAGAAAUGGAUACCUUAGUUAACAGGGUAACAGUAAAGCAGGGUGAGAAAGACCCAUAAAAUCAUUUUUACAUGAUGAAACAAUUUUCCUAGAUAUAAGAUAUUAAAAGGUGAAUAUUUCAGGAUUUUCCAGGGCUAAAAACAAGCGUUGCAUUUUAAGAAUGCCUGUCUGUCCUUUUCAGGGAAAUAAAGAAACAGAACUUAAUACUGAAUUUUGCAGGGCAUUGGACUUCAGCACCCUUGCAGUAGACAAAUUGCCACUGACCAGGAGGACAGUAAAACAAGUGCUGUGUUGGCUGGGAGAGAGAAAGCACUUUUCUAGCAGGUAUUUUCUUUUUUAAUCAGAAUUGUUUAUACCUGCUGGUGUUUUGAAUUUUAAAAGCUAAUUCCCGGGAAAUAGGGAAGGAAGACAAAGGCAGGUGAACCUGAUCUGUGAGGCACCAUGAAAGGAUGUGGUUUCAUGGCGCUCUGGAAACACACCAGGAGGAAUUACACCAGCAUCCCCUGUCAUGUGCUCUGCUCCAUCAGAGUCACUUUUGUACCCACUGCACAAAAUGGGAAACAGGGCCAAAAGUGGGGGGAAUGAGCCCUUGAGUGCAUUCCUGGGCACUUCCAGCAUACCCCAUGUCCCAUCUGAGCUGGUCCCUCAUUGCAGACAGUGAGUCCGUGGCAGAGCUAGGAAUAGAAUCCAAGCCCUUGUUCCAACUCCCAGAUCCUCAAGAGUAUUUUUAGGAACUUAAUACCAUUAAUUUUAUACUCUUUUUGGACAAGGAUCUUAGAAACAAGAUCUUAGAAGCAUGCUCCCUCCUGAAAUAAUUUUUUUAAUCCUACUUGUAUGCUGUUGGACAACUUUUUUUCAGGGACUGUGUACAAUUUAAUGCCAUUUAGGAACAAAUGGAUUUAAAAAUUACUUUUGGGAAGAGUUCUAGAUGGGCUAUGCUUUUGUGCAGCCUUGAUGUGUGAGUAAGGAUGGGGAGGAGAUGGUGCACAGUCUUUGUGUUCUGCAGGGCAAACAGUACCUGUCUGUGAGGGGCUUUGGCAGAGGGCAGUGGAGGCUCAGGCAUCUCAUGUUGGUACGUUAAAGCUACUGAAAAGGUGGAGAAAAAGUUCUACAUCUACAGAUUUUUACACACAAUCAUAUUUUUCAUUGUGCUAACUCAGCAAACCCCUUUAAGCCCUGCUCCUGCAUCCUAUCUAUUAUUAAUUAAUUGAUUUCCUAUAAGCAAUUGAGUUCUUCACAGGCAGCUCAGCUGCAGACAGUGGAACUGCUCUCCUGUCACAAAACACCAACAGAUUGAAAAGGCCAGGCCGGGCAAAGGGGAGGUUGAGACUGGACAUUCAGAAGUGCUGGACAAAGGUCUCAGGCAUGCGGUGGGAUUCCUUGGUCUGUCCUGUGCAGGGCCUGUAAUUGCACUCGAUAUUCCUUGUAGGUUCCUUCUAGCUCAGGAUAUUCUGUGAUUUAGCACUCAGGAGACAUUUCUUCACUGCAAGUGCUGUGCAGCCCUUGCACAGGUUGCCCAGGUCAGAGAUGCAGUCAUCACCCCUGGAGGUGUGUGGUACGGCACCUGGGGACGUGGUUACUGGUGUCCUUGGCAGUGCUGAGGGAACUUUUUCAACCCCAAUGACUGUCUCUACAACAGGGUGGGAGAGCAGCCACCCACGGUGCAGCCACUCAUCAGGUGAGCAGAUGAGCAGGGUGUGUUUCAGUGGCUGCCCUGUCGAUACUGCAGGAAGGGAAGGUGUCGAAGGCUGCUUUAGGGACUGCUCAUCCGGACAACGACCGUGGGGACAGGGAGGAAGCCUGUGUGGGAGAGGUUCCAGUGCCUCAGGGCAGGCGUGGCAAGAAGGGCUCUCUGUGCUGCUGCUGCAGCAGCGGGUGCUGCCCAGAUGUGGAGAGGCUCCUCUGUGCUCCGUCCUCUCCUCGCUGGGUCCAGCUCGGGUGGUAAACGCGCUUAUUGCAGCGCUAAUGUCCUGCAAGUGGGAUCCCACCUCCAGGUAUAUUAGAGUAAUGAGUUCACACCUAACUAAUGGAGACUUAAUAGAGUUACUAAUAGGCUGCCUUUUCCCCCCACGGUUUAUGACCCCGCGGCCGGGGCUGUCAGGGGAGGGAGAGGUGAGAGGCAGUGUCAGCCCCGGCUCGGCCCCCGGCCCGCGCCUGGCCCGGCAGCGUUUCCAGGGACAUCGUCUCUCCACCUUUCCGCGAGGAAAAAUAAACAGUUUGAGGCUCCUGUGUCUUUAUUAAACAUUUCCUUUAAGCUGCAUACUUUGGCUCCCUGCCCGCAUGCACCAAGAAAGCAUCCACAGAGCAGCUCCGCCGCGGGCCGGAGCAGGCAGCCCCCGGCCGGGCGAGCACCUGCACCGCCGGCUGCGGCCCGCGGCGUGCCCCGGGCCGGCCGCUGUGGGGGCCGUGUGGGAGCCGUGUGGGAGCCGUGUGGGAGCCCGGCGCUGCCCCGGGCGGAGGGCGCCGGCGGCGGGCAGCGGCAGCAUGGUGGCCCCGGGCCAGCAGGCGGCUGCGACGUGGCAGCCAGAAAUGUGCCUUCUCUGCGACGCCUUCGGAGCAGCCCAGCAGUUAAAUUAGUAACUACGAUAAAAGCUACCAGUGCUGUUCGGAGACAGGGUUUCUAGAUCCCUGUCAUCCCGAACAAGGUGCGCAUGGAGUCAUCCUGGAGCUUGAGCCUUCAGUCCCCUACGCCAGCAUCCAUUUCGGCAGAAAUGAUGCACAGCUCCACGCAGGCUCUGCCGGGAGUGGGACUGGAUCUGGAUCUUCCUCAGGCAGGACAGGGGAUUUUUUUCAGACAUUGUCCAAUAAAUACUGUGCAUCAUGUAAAUGUCUGUCCUGUCCGGAGAGGCAGAGAGGAACUGCAAGAUAAGGAGCUGAGGAAAACCGCCAGACAGCCACUGCUGAUGGCCAGGUGCCUGCUUCUCCCUGCUCUGUUUUCCCCCCAGAAAACAAAGCUGCCGUCAUACGUGUGCCCAUAAAACACGAGGCAUCCUGAGUGCAGAGAUUAGUGGUAAUUUUACAAGGACUCAAAUAACGUCGGUCUGCAGGGUGCAGCACUGCCUUGAAAGGGAACAGCAGGCAUUUCCCCUGGAAGCAAGUUUCCUCUUUAGAGCAGUUUACUGCCGAGGUGCAGUGUCACAUUGUGGCACAAAUACAGUGUCAGCCUUUGGUUUGGAAGAUGAGCAUUUGAUACCUCUUUCUGCUGCCAAAAUGCACUACCCAGACCCAGCUCCCAGCACGGUUAUUUUUUGAAGCAUUAUGUAAUUGGAUUGCAUGGUCAGUAGUGCUUCCUUAACAAGCCUUUCAGCAAACCCUCUGCCUGCUGCAGCCAAUCCUCAACCCUUACAUACACACUUACUCACGCAGGCUCAGUCUGGAGUAAACUCGCUGCUAAAUACAGUUAGGAAACGACGAAACCAGGCUGGGAAUAGAUCAUCUGCUUCCCUGCGCUACGUGAGCUGUGGUGUGGCCAAGCCCUGGGUGCCGCUGGUGUGAAAACGGGGUCAUGCUGAUGUAUCCCAGCUGAGGGGUCACUGCUGCCUCUCUGCCGUGCCUCUCCCUAACGGGGUGAAAAAAUCUGCUUUUUGGAGCGCGGAGAAGCAACUGGACUCAGUCUCCUUGUCUGCUCUCACCCUGCCAUGACUGCCCUGAGCCCUGGGGACCAGCUUUGGGAAACCUCUCCGAAGGUGCUCAGGCCCAGGGCAAGAGGGCCUUUAUCCCGGGUUCUGGUGGAAGCUGAAGGGCUGAACUGGGAACCGAGGCUCCGUGCAGCUCCCGGGCCUGUCCGGGCACCGUUCCCACGGGGCCUGGCUGGCUCGGCCCUCGCUGUGUUUUCCAGGAGUGUCCCUCUGCUCCGGCCGCUGUCAGCCCACGGGCUGUGGCUCUGCUGACUCACGGCUUCCUGUUUGUGAUUGCUGACUGGUGGCAGCAAUUGCAGAAGCAAUAAGAGAUAUUAAAAAGCGUGAACUUCCACUGGGACCAGGAGAUACAAUUAGGGCUGUGCCAAGAAAUACACUGCAGCGAGCUGCGGAGCCCUGCAGCCCCCCGUUCCCUUGCUGCAGGAAGUAGGAAAAUGAACAUCACUGGCCUUUUAUCAUCUCUGAACCCAAAUAAAAAUUGCAUUUGACUUCUGAAGCUCUCUCUGGCUCUUUUCCAUGCUCCUCCUCAAAGCCUUUGAUCCAGCCUUCUGUCUGGGUCUCCUCUACCUGCUGCUGCUGCUCAGAUGUAGGGAUCCGUGUUCUGUGCUUUCACCUGACUGAUUCUCUAUGAAAAGCCUGCAUGAGGCUGUGUAAAGAGGCUGCUUUAGAAGGCAUGCACAAUCUAAUAUUAUUUCCAUUAUUUUUUUAUGGGAAAUAUCUCUGGGGAGAAGCAUGAAAGUAUAUGGAGAAGGUGCUCUUUGAUCAGUAAGGUCUAAAUGUAGCAUCCAAACUGCAUGUCUGUUUCUUCAUAUUAUUUUGAAAUUCAUCUUAAAGUGCUACUCCUGGGUGGGCAUUUUCCUGUUUCUUCUUCCUUGGCUUGAGCAUUUGGAAGCAUUGCCAUCAGUUUCGUCUCCAGCCCUGGUGGGGAUUGUCCCCAAAAUGAUUUCACCGCCUUAUUGUUACUGUAUAUCAGUCUUUCAAUGUGUUUUAAUUCCAAUUUUAGCCUGAUUGUCAGAACGUACAUUCUGGUUAUUCAGCUGAGGACAGGAGGUGGAGGAUGGUGUUCUAUGAACUGUGUGUCACUGGAGGACAGAACAUAUGCUGAGGCUGGUCUUUGAUGGAUUGAAGCUACAGUAGUUUGCAGCUAAGAAAAAACCACUUCACUUUUGUACAGGCAUUAAACUGACUUCUAAAUUUUUUUUAACUCUGUGACAGACAUAGGGCCGAGAACUGGUACAGAGAACAGACAUUAGGGGAGGGAAAAAAUCCAUCCCAAAACCUCAGUUAUUUCAAAACAUACCAAAAGUGGACUGACAGUGGAUGAAGAGGAGGAGGAGGAGGCAAUAGCGAACACACAACACAGUUCAAGCUGGCAAGGAGCCCUUUCUUGAAGAAUGUGGAGCUGGCUGGGGCAGGAGUCCCCCCAGGGCACGGCCUGCAGCCAGCCUGUGCCCAGCCCUCGGGCUGCCCAGCCCGGGCACAGCACACCAGCUGCCUGGGUUUGUUGUGGCCACAGGAGGAAGAGGGAUCUGCUGGCAAAUUGCUUUGGGAGAACGAAACUCAAACGAGGAGCGGGAAGGGAUGGACCUGGUGUUGCCAUUGUCAUCAUCACCCCCUCCAGUGCCAACCUCACCUUUUGAUGGAGACACAGAGGAAAAAAUUAGAGACAGCAGCAGAUGAACAUCAGACCUGGCUGUGGACAGGCUGCAUGUGUCCCCUCCCCCGCCCCCCCAAAAUCAUCUCCAGCUGUAAAACACUUCAGGGCUGACAGAAACCACACGCAGCCCAGCCAUAACCCAAUCUGCAGAGCUGCAUUCCAAUAAAAGCGCAGCGUGGACCUAGAAGAAACACUGUCCAGGAUUCCCCGGCAGGAUGGGUGCUGGGCUGGGAGGGAUCCCCCGAGGCCAGGCACUGGGGAAGGGGGGCACAGCGAGGCCCCCCCAGGCCCCGCCGCUGCUGGCUCGGCACGGCCCUCCCGGGGCACAAAUGAAAGCAUUGUUGGCCGGGGUGGCUGGGGAUGCUGCAGGGGACGUGGCGCUGCAGUCACAGCCCGGGCCCCCAGUUUCAAUAUGCGCCGCUCACGUCGCCGCAAAUGUCAGAUGUGCUUAUGUUAAAUACAGGUAAUAUCGUGGCGUGCGGCUGGGAGCGUGAUUCCUGCAGAUAUCUUGUCUGAUGAAUUUUGCAUCUCGUGUUUGUGAUUUUUCUGUGCAAAGAAGUACAGGUUUGAGAGGAAUAGGAGCAGAUAUUUACAAAGAGAUAACGAUGAACUGUUUGAUUAAGUGCAGCAAAGAUGCUAUGUCAGAUCCGAUUUCUCACUGCUUACAACGCAGGGGUGAGGACGUGGUUACUAUAUAGUAAGUGCAGCUGGUGCUGGUGCUUAACUUGGUGAAUAAUUCAAUGCAGACUUUCCUGCAAAUCUCCAGCUUAAUUCUGAAAUAAGUCGGAGGGAAAGGAGGCUGAUGGACUAUUUUCCAAGGAGCCUUGGGUACCUGGCUGGCGCAGAGAGAAGAGGGUUGUAUUGCUGUCACUGCUCCUGACCCCAGUGCGGCUGAGCACAGGAACUGCCAGCCCUGGGCCGGGGUCCCUGUGCAGCCACUGCACCUGACAGACCCAAAUGAGUCCCCAGACAAGCCAAGGUGUCUUGGUCUCCCUGCUGACACACUCGGAAUUCUGUGGAAACCACCCUGUAGUCCAGAAUUCUUCUCAAUGCUGAAAACAGGGUUUUUUUUUCCCUAAUUCUGGGGGAACUGUAAUUUUAUUUUGUAACUUAUUUCCCUCUUUUUUCCCUUUAAGAUGAUUCCCAAACAUUUAUUGUGGGAUUUUUCAUUUAAAAUAGUUUUCUAGGGGAAUUACUGUGACAGUGAUUUAAUUGUUUAAUUAAAAUCUGACAUUGAUGACAACAUAAAUACAAUAGGCACGAGGUGAUACAGGCAUUAAAUAAGUGCAAUUGUGGAAUACAUCCACAGAGUACUCUGAGCACAUGGAGCCGCUCACAAAGAAAUGAUGUUCAAUAUUUAUCAGGUUAGUGACUCCUAAUUAAAUGCCAAGACUUUUUUUCUUCAUUUCUCUCAAAAAGCCAAGAAACAUAUAGAUGUAUUCCAAGUGUUUAUUCCCAUGGCAAACACAUCCACUCGUGUUAUGGCCUGCAAAACAAGCAAAUGCAUGUUACAAACUUGCUGUCUGACUGAGGGGUGUUUACUCAGCCUGACUGCAGCAGCCUUGCCAGGUUUGGGGACAGCUGUAAUAGCCCACAGAGGUCCUGUCACUCCCACUGCCUCGAGCACGAUGUCUUUUAAUAAUCAGGUAUAACCCCAGAAAUAGAUUGGAGACAAAAGAAUAAAUGUUCCUUUGAAAUGUCCCUUAGCCCAAACCUCCCCAAACCCUACAGCAUUUCUUCUAGAGCAAUAGUCUCUCCCCUCCAGCACCCCAUGUCUCAGGAAUAAGGGCAGCAGCCCCCCCAGUAACUGAGGCAAACAUGACUCCAGAAGAAAUCCCUGCUAUCUGGCUGAAAUUGCUCAGCAGUGUGGCUCUCCAGCCGUGCUGCAUUUUUGCAUCCCAACAAUGACUGUGCUGCUGCUGGAAUAUCCCUUUCCAUGCUUCUUGCUGGGCGUCUCUAAAUGGUAUCAACUCGCUUCUGCGGCUCAGCAAGCCCUGUGCAAUCCAUCGCUGCCGAUCGCCUGCCCUUUCCCCUUCCAAACCCAGAACAAACACAUCUGCUCCAGCUCAACUCCCCUCAGCCUUCCCCCCUUCUCCUUCUCAACUCCUCACAAACAAACUUUCCAAAGGAAAAGCCGCCUUACCUGGCCAGUGCUUUGGGCAUAGAGUCAUACAAACUGAUCAAGGCAGACAUCCUAACUCCAGCACAGGGAUUUGAUUGCAAAUUUCCAUUGCAAAGGAGCAGAGGGAACUGGAAAUCUGACAAAUGCCUUCAAAUUGACCUGUGUUUCCACAAUGCACGCAGUGUUUAAAAUGAAUGGCAGACUUUAUCAUUUGGAGCUCCUUCAAGGACUCUGGCCUUCCAUGCUUUGUUCUGAUUCUUCAGACAAAUUUCCAACAAGCAUACAGCUAUGGAAGUGGAUGAUAUUAUGGAGGCUUUUUCUAAGCGGAAUCUCCCCCCUCCCAACAAUAAUUUUUCAAGCCUUAAUUUUAAAAGAUAGCCUGGAACUUUUUUUUAGCUCUCCCCACACAUCAGCCCCUUGUGCCCCAUCAGCCUCCGGCACCGCAGAGUGUCCCCAGUCCCCCCGUGCUGGGUGGCGAGCGAUGGGAUAUGCUUGUGGAUCCCUAAAAAUUCAGCUGAGUGCAGUGCUUUCACCACAGCAAAACUGGCCCACCCCUGCCUCCUGAGCCCCUGGCAGCCAGGUCAUGUCUCCAGGGGAAGACCUGAUCUCUCUGCAGAACCCAGGGAACCAGAGCUGCUCACCCUCAUUUUACAUGUUAAAGAUAACAACCAUUCUUGCUGAGAGUCCUGUCCAGAAAGCCAUAUUCACUCUGUUGGAAAAACAUUUUGCUUCAAAGUUGUUUCUCUUAAUUUGUAUAUAUUUCUACAAAUAAUAACUUCCCUUGAAAACGCCGCUAUUCGUUCUGUCUGUUCAAAAUAACAGAAAUGAAAUGAUACAAAUCUUUGCGCAAAUACAUCAGAUAUGCCAUGAGACAAAAAAAGGGGUUAAUCUAAUAAUUCAGCUGUGUCUUUAGCAAGUUUCCUAUGGGAAAAAUCAGUCUUAUUUUCACUGCAGAUCUGAUACUAAGAGCUUCUUUCUGUUAAGCACAUUAAAAGCUAUUUGAACCCAAAA